GAGGAUUAGGGAACCUUAAAAAACAAGAAUCCCAGGUCACUCUAGUUAUAACAAUUCCUCUGAACUGCUUGAAUCAAACAAACAUAAAAGUUUAAUUCCACUCUUUUUACCUGGAAUUCCAAAUCACCCUCUGGAAGCAUAUCUUAGUGUUCUCACAACGGGUUUGUGGCCUUAACGGAAAAAUAGAAUGAUUCUUAAGUCUACUUUUUAGAUUCUUGGAGCCCUCUGCAUCACGAGGCCCUUUAAGUGUUUCCUUGAAUCCUCGCACCAACUCAGGGAAGUAGGUGUUACAUCCUCAUUUCACACAUGAGGAAACUGAGGCUCACCAGAGUUCAAUUACUUGUGUGCGGUCAUAUCGUGUGAGGGGAGAAGGCAGGACCUGAACCUGGCAGUUUGCUCUGCAGAAUUGACCUUCCCGUCUGCAAGGCCAUGACAGCUCUGAAAAGGCACUGAAAGGCACUGUAGGAGGACAUUUGUGACAGCGUGGUGAUGAAUUCGUGACGAGGCGGCAGCGUAGACUUGAAACAGGUCCACGUGUUUCUCUGCAUUUAGCCAAGACCAAACCAGAACGCACGCCCCUGGACGCGCAGCUGGAUGCAUGAAACAAAGAGGUUUUCUAUUUUGUCAUGAAAGGGACAUAAUUUGGGGGGAAAAGCCCUGCCCAAACCAGAAGUUCAGUUUGCGUUUGUUUCAGCCAAACUGCUUCAAGCCUGGUCACAGACUUCUGUGGACCUCGAUUGUUGCAGAAAUGUUUUUUAAAAAGCCUUUUAGGUUUUGUUAAACCUCUCCAGAAGUUUAUUUCAAAAUAAAGGAGUUACUAACACAGCUUUUCCAACGUUAGAUCAUAUUGUAAAGAACUCAUACAAUUCACUAGCAAAUAAAAAAAAUCGAUUAAAAUAUAGGCAGAGGAUCUGAAUAGACAUUUUUCCAGAGAAGACACACAGAUGGCCAAGAGGCA
rnacentral:lncRNA from 1 species